UAGAAAAAUACAAGAGAAAAAUAUAGAAAAUUAUUCUAUCUUUUCGUCUUCCUUUCCAAAUGGCUGCAACCUCCUUGUCUUCCAUUCCUUUCUUUCUUCUCCUCUCUUUAUGUCAUUCUCAAUGCCAAAUUCCAAGGAUUUCGCUCAACUUUCUUCAUAUACAAGCUUCAUGAUCUUCUCGAACACAGAUGGGCGAGCAAAUUUCAAAACAGAUUUGUUUGUUAGGCGAUUUGAUAGACGAGAUGGAUCUAGACGGGCGAGAUGGACUUGUUCUGACAAACGAACAGAUCUGAUCUAUUCACGAUGGGAUCCAGAAACUAAUGGGCUAGGCAAGAUGCGGGGUGUUGAGCUUCAAAUUCGAGAUCUCCUAAUAUGGAAGACAGGGAUGCUCUUGUGGUAGGUAACAACAAUGUAAGGUAAAAAAAAUUAUAUUAGAAAGUACAAAAUUUUUUACUUAGUCUAUUAUAUAGCUUCCUUUUCUUAAUAGUGCAUGAUUAAUGUAUAUAUAUUUUCAAAUAUUUUAUAAUAGUUACUAAAAUUCUUGAAAAGUAACAUAAAUGAAUAGUAUAUAAUUAAAUCUAAUAGCUUGAUCAUCUUGCUUAAUACAAGAAUGAAUAUCAUUUACACUCAUGCCUUCUGAGUUGAUAAGUGUUAUUAAACUUACGUGCAACUGAAGAAGCUUAAGAUUAAUGAGUAUCAAGGAAUUAAGAUGUAUAACUAAAGUAAUUAGGGAUGGUAUUAUUUUUGAUUGAAACCAAAAAGCUUGGUCGACUUCAAACAAUUCAACCUUCAAAAAAAAAAAAAUUACACAGUAAAACUAUAACUGUUUUAUUAGCUACUUUUAUUUACUUACUACACAAAUCCAUUUAUACUCUAAGUUGAAAUUACACAUCAGGCUACUCCUUAGCAUGCUUUUAAGAAAUUAUAGUUGUGUCUAUUCAUUGGACUACAAGGGUAGAGAUUUUUGUAUCGAAUUUCUUCAUGAUUCUAUUCUGGAAGCAUGUAUUGAUUUUCGUUUCAAAGUUUUGGGGAUUUUUUUGUUGCCUCGAUUCAAUGUGCCCUAAAAUUCUAGGAGGAUAGUGUAUCUAGAUGCUUUAACUUGUUGUUUUAUUUCUUUGUUCUCUUGUUGAUGUUAUACAUAUAUAAACUUCACUCAGUUAUUGAUAAAUAAGAGGAAGUAUCUAUUUAUUGAGAAAUAGUUUUUGAAUUCCUGUUUUGAUUUUUCAUUUAACAGUAGUUGUUAUUGAUGUUGUUAAAGAGAACAAUUGAUCACAAUUGAGGAAAAUAUUAGAUGUAAUUGUAUGCUGCAAUAACAGGAAAACAUUGACAAAAUUAACUUCAUGGAAAUCGUAGAUUAUUGACUGUUAAGAUGCUGGAUUGUCUAUAGGUCUUGGCAAAAGUAGUUUGUCCUAACGUCUUCUACAUUAUAAAUAUGCUAAAGUGUUAGGUAUUAUAGUUCUCAAAAUAGUUUAAGACUUGUACUGACAUAUGCUCAAAAUACGACAAUUCUUUUUCUUUCUCUCUUUUUGAUAAAAGUUUAGAAUUAUAUGGUUUUUUUUUAUUGCAGCACUUAUUCUUCAAGAAGUAAUUCAAACUUCAUUUCUUUGAUUUCUUCAUUAUUGGUCUAUUUUUUCCUCUUGAGUUCCUUCUAAGUCUAAAUCUUACAACGUGUAAGAUAAUAUUGUUGUUAAGAAUCACCCUCAUUACUUGGGAAAUAUAUAUUUGCUUUAUUAUUGAAUAUGGAUCUCAACCGAGGCAAAGCUCAGUGGCCUUCUUCUCCUACAAGAUCAAUUAACGAAUCUAGGUUAUAUUUUGCAAUCAUAGUUCUUUCUAUCUAAUGUUCAGGACUUAUUCUUAGCUUGGAUAGCUCUUUACUUUGAUUUAUUUUCUUCCUCUUAAAUUAGCUAAAUUCGCCUUCUCUUCUUCUAUCAAUGGUUUUACUCAUAAUAAUACUCUUAUGCCUAUGUCCAAUUCUGAACUAAUUGCGUUUGUUUAGUGAAAAUAGCAGAAAUCUCAAGUGCGACAUAGAGAUCCAUUAUUGUACAUUUUCACAUAAUUUGUAAGUCUAGUGCUCAUUAUCCAUUUGGUUUGUUUUGGUUCGUGGAGCUCAAUUUCCUCUUAGUCUCUAUAUUUUCAUUUAUGUAUUGUAAAGUUUGAAGGAGACCAUCAUUGUGGUUCUUUCGAUAUUAUUUAUUACACUUUAGAUGGGAAGUUCUAUUGGUAUGGUUAGCUCUAGAACCUCUCGAAGAUUUAACUUUUUUGUUUUUCUUUUUUUGUCAACCAUAUACUACAAUAGAAGUGAGAAAAGUUCUAUUGUUUGGUUGAGGUUCUUGGAUUGGAAAAAUCUAAAUUAGAGACUUCAAAUUAAAGAAGUUUUGGAGGUGUAGGGGUAAUUAUCACUUAGAGGUUAUUCAAAUUAGUGUAUGAGUGGCGGGGAGGUAGUUUUCAAUUUGUUUUGCCAAAAACUAUUAUAUAAAAGGAUUAGUAUAUGGAAUACUCAGUAAGUAACCCCACUACUGAGGUCAGGUUAUGUAAACACAUGCAACAUGAACUGAAUAUCAUAAACUGGUGGGAGCUAAAACUUUGCUUCUCUAAUAUUAACUCUAUAUCCUUUCCCUUAGAUGUGUAUCAAUUUCAUAGACAUGAGUUCAAUGUACAUCAAUUUCAUAUACAUUGAACCCUGUAUCAAUUUCAUAAACUGGUUGCAUGCAUCAAUUUUAUGCAUGGGUGUGCAUCAAUUUUAUACACACUAAAGCCUGUCUAAGAAUAUUGAGAUGUGUACCACUUUCGUACACAUGGUUAUGUAUACACCACUUUCAUAUACGCAUAAUUCACUAGGCGUGCACCACUUUUGUACACCCUAAGGCUCUCUAGAUAUGUCGAGAUGUGCACCACUUUCGUAUACAUAACUUUGUAUACACCAAUAUCGUAUACACAAAACUUACUGAGCAUGCACCACUUUUAUACACCUCAUUCCCUCUAGGUAUAUGUCACUUUUAUACAUAUCGAUCCUAGCACACCACUUUCAUGCACUAAAGCCCUUGGAUAUGUAUCACUUUCAUGUAGUCAAAACACUGUGGAAAGGAAAAGUGAUUGCAUACCAAUUUCAUAAUGUCAUGUAACAUUCACAUAUGCAUGAGUCCUAAAUAAAAUCUUGUAAAUAUUGUCAUUUUCAUGAAUCGAUCCUCAUGCAUCACUUUCAUGCACUAGAUCCCUUGAACACGUGUAUAUAGUAAAUCAUUCAUAAUUUCAUAGUAAAUCGCAUGGCAUGCAUUCAUAGUUUCAUAAUUCACAUGAAAACAUGUACAUCCAUAUAUAUCUAAUUUUUACCUGGCACCAAGACAUUCCAAUAAUAAAACUACUUACCUUGAAAUUAAAUCUAAAUAUUUUAUUCAGCAACUAAACUCCCUUUUAAGUUCUUAGAAACCUUGAAACAAAUCAUAAAUCAUGAGCCAAAAUUAAAUUAAAUCCUUAGGUUCGGAUUCUAAUGGACGAAAUUUAUUUCAAAUGUCUCCAAUUAAACUUAUCCAAACUGUGGCUUGAUCCAAAAUCGCCCCAAAACCAUCUCAACCGUCAAUCCAAUAACACAACCUACGGAGAAACCACUAACAAGCAUUAAUAACUUAAUUUACAUCAAUUAUCUUUAAUCCACAAAGUCUCAAAAUUACCAAAAACCACCCAAAAUUGAUCUAUGAUACUGCUGAAUAGCGGUGCAAAACUCUUCAAGUCCUCAAUUUUACAUCCAAAAGAUUAUGGAUAACAUUGAUUUCAUGCCAAAACCAAAUGGGUAUUAAAGAACUUCAAGAAAACUCAAAAACUCUCGUCCAAAGGCAACUUUCCUACCAAACCCAACGUAUCCGACAACAGCGGCAGCGACUGGUGGGAGAUAGCCAAACGGAUGCGAGCUCCGGUGAACCUGUUGGCAGCGGUCGGCUGUUAUGGAGCGGGCCUUAGAGAGAGAAACUAACGGAGGGAGAUGAGAGGGCCGACCGGCGGCGCUGGUGGUCGGAACGAUGCGGUUGACGACGAUCGGCGACGGACAGAAUUUGUUGGGAUCAAGCGUCACGCAUUCGUUGAGACUUUGCUAGAUUGACUGCAACCAUUGUGUUCUUGAAGGCAUCGAAGUCGUCAAUUGUGCAAUUGGUUCGCAUGGCAGUCGGGACAACAGUUAGAGCAGGAGAAUUUUUUACGUAAGGGAGAUGGCCUAGUGGUUUAAAAUA